rnacentral:rRNA from 1 species
GGGGUGCAGCAGGCGCGAAAACUUUGCAAUGCGGGAAACCGUGACAAGGGAACUCUGAGUGCCCGUUAAAUCGGGCUGUCCAUCGGUUUAAACAACCGGUGAAGAAAGGGCCGGGCAAGACCGGUGCCAGCCGCCGCGGUAAUACCGGCGGCUCGAGUGGUGGCCACUAUUACUGGGCUUAAAGCGUUCGUAGCUGGUUUGUUAAGUCUCUGGGGAAAUCUUCCGGCUCAACCGGAAGGCGUCUCAGGGAUACUGGCAGACUAGGGACCGGGAGAGGUGAGAGGUACUCCAGGGGUAGGAGUGAAAUCCUGUAAUCCUUGGGGGACCACCUGUGGCGAAGGCGUCUCACCAGAACGGCUCCGACAGUGAGGGACGAAAGCUGGGGGAGCAAACCGGAUUAGAUACCCGGGUAGUCCCAGCUGUAAACGAUGCGCGUUAGGUGUAUCGGUGACCACGAGUCACCGAGGUGCCGAAGAGAAAUCGUGAAACGUGCCGCCUGGGAAGUACGGUCGCAAGGCUGAAACUUAAAGGAAUUGGCGGGGGAGCACAAGGGCGAAUCGCGG